rnacentral:rRNA from 1 species
UGCCAGCAGCCGCGGUAAUACGGAGGGUGCAAGCGUUAUUCGGAAUUAUUGGGCGUAAAGGGUCCGUAGACUGUAUAGUAAGUUGUUUGUUAAAAUUUAAAGCUAAACUUUAAAAAAGCGAAUAAUACUAUUAUACUAGAGUUUAAAACAGAAAAGUAGAAUUUCAUGUUUAGGAGUAAUUACCUUAGACACAUGAAGGAACAUCAAUAGCGAAAGCAACUUUUUGGUAAAAACUGACGUUGAGGGACGAAAGUGUAGGUAGCAAACAGGAUUAGAUA